UAGCUCAGCUGGUUCAGAGCACCUGCCUUACAAGCAGGGGGUCCUAGGUUCGAAUCCUAG
rnacentral:tRNA from 1 species